GCUCUGGUGGCCUAGUGGUUAGAGCAUCUGCCUCAAAUGCGGGAGGUUGUGGGUUUGAUCCCCAAUCGAUUCAUACCAAAGACU